rnacentral:misc_RNA from 1 species
GUUUUAAUUAAAAAUAUUCAUAAUUCAAAGAGUGUAUCUAUUUCUCAAAAAAUUAUAAAUUGUACGAAAUUUGGUACCAUUUAUUAUAAUUUAAUAAUAAAAUUAAUAAUACUAAUACCUGUGAUUCGCCGUAUUUAAUAACGAAUCUUUGUUUUUUCAGGUUGUAAUUGAAAUAAUAUUUGUGUGAAUAUAUGUUUUAUUAUUUAAAUUUAUAGCAAAAGGAAUAAAUACAAAAACGACGCAAUUCCACAGCCUAACCACACACACUAUGUAGAAAGUACGUCGUGCACGAUACACUAAUGCAUCGUCAGUCGCUUACAAAUUAUUAUAAAAUCAGUGAUCAUCGUACCCAUUGCCUUUCUCUCACCCAAGUAGCACCUGGGCACGUGAGUGAGGUCCUGGCAAUAAACACGGAAAGGGUAAAACCUGAAAAUCCUAAUUUAAAAAAAGUAAACAGUACAAAUAGCACCAAUGCUAUAUAAUGAUUCGUUCAAAUAAUUGACACUAUGAAUUAUUGAAAUUACAUUACAAAAAGACAAACUGACACUGAAUAAGAAAUUUAUUUAAUACUUGACUCAAAGUUAAAUAUUAAUACAAACACCCUCAGGCAAUCCCUUCGUCAAAGCACAUAUUCGAAAAUAUGAAAGCAAUGUUCAAAACUUGUUGCUUUGAUUCCAAAAUUUGCCUGUCGCGAAAUUUCUUCUUGCACAUAAAAUUCAAUACAUUUUUGACGGCAGGAUUGAGCUUUAAUAUCUCUAUAUUUAUAUUUUAAAUCAAUACCGAAACUCGAAAAUGAAGGGCGAACAAUUAAAUCCUUUGGAAUAAUGUCAUCAGAAAACAGAAGGUGAAAUAAAAGUGACUUAUUAUUAUCAUUAUCAUUAGAUAUGCAAUAAUAGCAAUUUUUAACGCAACG